GACGAACGCUGGCGGCGUGCUUAACACAUGCAAGUCGAGCGGUAAGGCCCUUUCGGGGGUACGACGAGCGGCGAACGGGUGAGUAACACGUGGGUGACCUGCCCUCAGCUCUGGGAGUAAGCCUGGGAAACCGGGUACUAAUACCGGAUAUGACUCCAUGACGCAUGUUGUGGGGUGGAAAGCCUUGUGCGGCUGAGGAUGGGCCCGCGGCCUAUCAGCUUGUUGGUGGGGUGAUGGCCUACCAAGGCGACGACGGGUAGCCGGCCUGAGAGGGCGACCGGCCACACUGGGACUGAGACACGGCCCAGACUCCUACGGGAGGCAGCAGUGGGGAAUCUUGCGCAAUGGGCGAAAGCCUGACGCAGCGACGCCGCGUGAGGGAUGACGGCCUGGU
rnacentral:rRNA from 1 species